UACGGGGGGGGCAAGCGCUGUUCGGAAUUACUGGGCGUAAAGGGCUCGUAGGUGGCCAACUAAGUCAGACGUGAAAUCCCUCGGCUUAACCGGGGAACUGCGUCUGAUACUGGAUGGCUUGAGUUCGGGAGAGGGAUGCGGAAUUCCAGGUGUAGCGGUGAAAUGCGUAGAUAUCUGGAGGAACACCGGUGGCGAAGGCGGCAUCCUGGACCGAUACUGACGCUGAGGAGCGAAAGCCAGGGGAGCAAACGGG
rnacentral:rRNA from 1 species